rnacentral:rRNA from 1 species
UACUGGAAACGGUAGCUAAUACCGCAUAACGUCGCAAGACCAAAGAGGGGGACCUUCGGGCCUCUUGCCAUCGGAUGUGCCCAGAUGGGAUUAGCUAGUAGGUGGGGUAACGGCUCACCUAGGCGACGAUCCCUAGCUGGUCUGAGAGGAUGACCAGCCACACUGGAACUGAGACACGGUCCAGACUCCUACGGGAGGCAGCAGUGGGGAAUAUUGCACAAUGGGCGCAAGCCUGAUGCAGCCAUGCCGCGUGUAUGAAGAAGGCCUUCGGGUUGUAAAGUACUUUCAGCGGGGAGGAAGGGAGUAAAGUUAAUACCUUUGCUCAUUGACGUUACCCGCAGAAGAAGCACCGGCUAACUCCGUGCCAGCAGCCGCGGUAAUACGGAGGGUGCAAGCGUUAAUCGGAAUUACUGGGCGUAAAGCGCACGCAGGCGGUUUGUUAAGUCAGAUGUGAAAUCCCCGGGCUCAACCUGGGAACUGCAUCUGAUACUGGCAAGCUUGAGUCUCGUAGAGGGGGGUAGAAUUCCAGGUGUAGCGGUGAAAUGCGUAGAGAUCUGGAGGAAUACCGGUGGCGAAGGCGGCCCCCUGGACGAAGACUGACGCUCAGGUGCGAAAGCGUGGGGAGCAAACAGGAUU